GCUGGGGCUCAGUGGUAGACCACUCGCCUAGCAUGUGUGAGGCACUGGGUUCAAUUCUCAGCACUGCG
rnacentral:tRNA from 1 species